rnacentral:rRNA from 1 species
UACGAAGGGGGCUAGCGUUGCUCGGAAUCACUGGGCGUAAAGCGCACGUAGGCGGAUUGCUAAGUCAGGGGUGAAAUCCUGGAGCUCAACUCCAGAACUGCCUUUGAUACUGGCGACCUUGAGUCCGGGAGAGGUGAGUGGAACUGCGAGUGUAGAGGUGAAAUUCGUAGAUAUUGGGAAGAACACCAGUGGCGAAGGCGGCUCACUGGCUCGUAACUGACGCUCAGGCGCGACAGCGUGGGGAUCAAACAGG